CUUCUUUUCUGAGGAUUUAGUAUAGAGACGAACCACAUCUAUUGUCGACGAUACGAUUUUAUCGAUAGUGUUGGGAAGUGUAUGUAUUAUAGGCACGUAGU